rnacentral:rRNA from 1 species
UCAAGUGAAGAAGCGCAUACGGUGGAUGCCUUGGCAGUCAGAGGCGAUGAAAGACGUGGUAGCCUGCGAAAAGCUUCGGGGAGUCGGCAAACAGACUUUGAUCCGGAGAUGUCUGAAUGGGGGAACCCACCUAACAUAAGUUAGGUAUCUUACGCUGAAUACAUAGGCGUAAGAAGCGAACCAGGGGAACUGAAACAUCUAAGUACCCUGAGGAAAAGAAAUCAACCGAGAUUCCCUUAGUAGUGGCGAGCGAACGGGGACUAGCCCUUAAGUGGCUUUGAGAUUAGCGGAACGCUCUGGAAAGUGCGGCCAUAGUGGGUGAUAGCCCUGUACGCGAAAAUCUCUUAGUCAUGAAAUCGAGUAGGACGGGGCACGAGAAACCUUGUCUGAAUAUGGGGGGACCAUCCUCCAAGGCUAAAUACUACUGACUGACCGAUAGUGAACUAGUACCGUGAGGGAAAGGCGAAAAGAACCCCGGAGAGGGGAGUGAAAUAGAUCCUGAAACCGUAUGCGUACAAGCAGUGGGAGCCCACUUUGUUGGGUGACUGCGUACCUUUUGUAUAAUGGGUCAGCGACUUAUUUUCAGUGGCGAGCUUAACCGAAUAGGGGAGGCGUAGCGAAAGCGAGUCUUAAUAGGGCGUCUAGUCGCUGGGAAUAGACCCGAAACCGGGCGAUCUAUCCAUGGGCAGGUUGAAGGUUGGGUAACACUAACUGGAGGACCGAACCGACUACCGUUGAAAAGUUAGCGGAUGACCUGUGGAUCGGAGUGAAAGGCUAAUCAAGCUCGGAGAUAGCUGGUUCUCCUCGAAAGCUAUUUAGGUAGCGCCUCAUGUAUCACUGUAGGGGGUAGAGCACUGUUUCGGCUAGGGGGUCAUCCCGACUUACCAAACCGAUGCAAACUCCGAAUACCUACAAGUGCCGAGCAUGGGAGACACACGGCGGGUGCUAACGUCCGUCGUGAAAAGGGAAACAACCCAGACCGUCAGCUAAGGUCCCAAAGUUAUGGUUAAGUGGGAAACGAUGUGGGAAGGCUUAGACAGCUAGGAGGUUGGCUUAGAAGCAGCCACCCUUUAAAGAAAGCGUAAUAGCUCACUAGUCGAGUCGGCCUGCGCGGAAGAUUUAACGGGGCUCAAACCAUACACCGAAGCUACGGGUAUCACUUAGGUGAUGCGGUAGAGGAGCGUUCUGUAAGCCUGUGAAGGUGAGUUGAGAAGCUUGCUGGAGGUAUCAGAAGUGCGAAUGCUGACAUGAGUAACGAUAAUGGGUGUGAAAAACACCCACGCCGAAAGACCAAGGUUUCCUGCGCAACGUUAAUCGACGCAGGGUUAGUCGGUCCCUAAGGCGAGGCUGAAAAGCGUAGUCGAUGGAAAACAGGUUAAUAUUCCUGUACUUCUGGUUAUUGCGAUGGAGGGACGGAGAAGGCUAGGCCAGCUUGGCGUUGGUUGUCCAAGUUUAAGGUGGUAGGCUGAGAUCUUAGGUAAAUCCGGGAUCUUAAGGCCGAGAGCUGAUGACGAGUGUUCUUUUAGAACACGAAGUGGUUGAUGCCAUGCUUCCAAGAAAAGCUUCUAAGCUUCAGGUAACCAGGAACCGUACCCCAAACCGACACAGGUGGUUGGGUAGAGAAUACCAAGGCGCUUGAGAGAACUCGGGUGAAGGAACUAGGCAAAAUGGCACCGUAACUUCGGGAGAAGGUGCGCCGGUGAGGGUGAAGCAUUUACUGCGUAAGCCCAUGCCGGUCGAAGAUACCAGGCCGCUGCGACUGUUUAUUAAAAACACAGCACUCUGCAAACACGAAAGUGGACGUAUAGGGUGUGACGCCUGCCCGGUGCCGGAAGGUUAAUUGAUGGGGUUAGCUAACGCGAAGCUCUUGAUCGAAGCCCCGGUAAACGGCGGCCGUAACUAUAACGGUCCUAAGGUAGCGAAAUUCCUUGUCGGGUAAGUUCCGACCUGCACGAAUGGCGUAACGAUGGCGGCGCUGUCUCCACCCGAGACUCAGUGAAAUUGAAAUCGCUGUGAAGAUGCAGUGUAUCCGCGGCUAGACGGAAAGACCCCGUGAACCUUUACUAUAGCUUUGCACUGGACUUUGAAUUUGCUUGUGUAGGAUAGGUGGGAGGCUUUGAAGCGUGGACGCCAGUUCGCGUGGAGCCAACCUUGAAAUACCACCCUGGCAACUUUGAGGUUCUAACUCAGGUCCGUUAUCCGGAUCGAGGACAGUGUAUGGUGGGUAGUUUGACUGGGGCGGUCUCCUCCUAAAGAGUAACGGAGGAGUACGAAGGUGCGCUCAGACCGGUCGGAAAUCGGUCGUAGAGUAUAAAGGCAAAAGCGCGCUUGACUGCGAGACAGACACGUCGAGCAGGUACGAAAGUAGGUCUUAGUGAUCCGGUGGUUCUGUAUGGAAGGGCCAUCGCUCAACGGAUAAAAGGUACUCCGGGGAUAACAGGCUGAUACCGCCCAAGAGUUCAUAUCGACGGCGGUGUUUGGCACCUCGAUGUCGGCUCAUCACAUCCUGGGGCUGAAGCCGGUCCCAAGGGUAUGGCUGUUCGCCAUUUAAAGUGGUACGCGAGCUGGGUUUAGAACGUCGUG